rnacentral:tRNA from 1 species
UGGUCUAUGGUGUAAUUGGCAGCACGACUGAUUCUGGUUCAGUUAGUUUUGGUUCGAGUCCAGGUAGACCAGC